GGAAUAUUGGACGUAAAGAGCUCGUAGGCGGUUUGUCGCGUCUGCCGUGAAAGUCCGGGGCUCAACUCCGGAUCUGCGGUGGGUACGGGCAGACUAGAGUGAUGUAGGGGAGACUGGAAUUCCUGGUGUAGCGGUGAAAUGCGCAGAUAUCAGGAGGAACACCGAUGGCGAAGGCAGGUCUCUGGGCAUUAACUGACGCUGAGGAGCGAAAGCAUGGGGAGCGAACAGGAUUAGAUACCCUGG
rnacentral:rRNA from 1 species